UAUUACCAAUGGCUGCACGGGACAGACUCUCGUACUGGACUUGCAAGUUGCUUGGUAUUUUACAUUGGGAUGGAAUUGAUGCCGAAGAUGCAAUCAGGAUGUUACUGAUGAGAACUAUCAAAACCUGAAAGAAAAAAGAUAUCGAGGCGGAACUAGCAAAAUGACGGAAAUGCAUUCUUCCGUUGAGGUUUUAAAUCCGGAGGAAACUUAUCGGUUUUCUCCCACAUUGUAAUAUUUCUCUCCAGCGUCACCUCGUUUGUAUCAUCGGCGUCAAUUCCAACCAAAUGUAAAAUACCAACCAAUCUGAAAUUCCGAUACAAGAGGCUGUCCCGUGCAGCCGUUGGCAACAAGUUUUUCCUUCCGGCUAGAGUUACUCCAGUCGGAAGUAACCAGAAACCACUGAUCGUCGGGGAUACAACCUGCCCAACAUCUUCUGCAUCUAUUGAUAUCAUCCGCGAACGUUCAACCUGCCCAUGGUACGUGAAUAUUACCCAUGAUUCAACAGUUUUCCCUUCAUCCCGUACCGAAGUUGUGUGUCGCUGCAGAGGCUGUCGAGAUUUUAGCAGCAGCAAAUACCAAUGUGUGACGGUAUAUACUAAAAUGACUGUCCUCAAACGUACAAAUAAAUGCGUUGCUAGACUGUACGUGUAUAAGCCAAUUGUGAUUAAUGUAGGUACAGCUUGUGUGUGUGCAAGAAAAAUUGAUGGAUAUAAAAACGACAAAUAUGCGUCUUACGAAACAUAGAGGUUAUUCACAAUAUUAUGAAAGAUUAACUUGACCACUAAGAGGGCAUUAUAAUUUGCACACAACUGUACAUAAAAUUCGCACACAUACAUAUAUACUUUGUAAAUAUGUUUAUAUUUUAUUUAAUUCCAUAUAUCAUAAAACAUUUCAUAAUCUCUGUGUCCACAUAUUUAUAUGUUAUCUUUAACAUAUUUUAUUGUAUUGUUUAUUUGAAAUGAACAAUAUAUUAUUUGACUCAUGUCUGACAUAUACAACAUAUUUAAGUCUUCGACCAUUUUGAGUUUUAUCAUGAUUGUACAUAUCCAACGACACACACACACAUACACAACCCUAUACAAGGCGUGGGGUUGAGAAGUUCUUGGUUUGGGUUAAAAGAAAAUACAGGAGUAUCAGUUAAUUAUAAUUUUAUUGAAAAUAAUCUCAGAUUCACACACUAACUGUGGCGGUCCCGCAGGUUACAAAGCCUUGUGUAAGAAUUCGGAAGGUAGGGGGCACCACUAGGCGUUUCGCGACACCCUUAAAGUCAGGAACUUCUCGCCAUCCCUUUGUGUGC
rnacentral:misc_RNA from 1 species